AUGAAGGGUGCGAUUAUGGAGUAUAGGGAGCAGGUGGAGACAGGGCAGGCUCCUCAACUUCGCAUGAUUGCACGUGCAUGGAAUGUGCCAAAAAGCACCCUCCAGCGGAGGGUCAAGAAUCAUGUACAAGGCUACAAGCAUGCUUCGGGUCGCAAACCAGUCUUACCUAAAGAGAGUGAGGCAGAGUUGGUUAAGAUGAUCAAGACCCUUUCCAAGAGAGGUUUCCCACUUAGAAGAAAGGAGAUCCAGUUGCUUGCCUACCAAUACGCACAAGCAAACAACUUGCCUGGAUUUUCAGAAAAAAAAAAGAGGGCUGAGCAGUACUGGUUUGAAAAUUUUAUGCGCCGAAAUCCUGACCUCAGCCAAAGGAAACCGGAGGCCCUCUCUGCUGCAAGAGCAGCAGGGAUUAACCCCACAGCAAUUGAGAAAUGGUUCCAGCAGUAUCAAGAUCUUCUUACUGAGCUGGGAAUCAAGGAUGUGCCUUCCCACAUUUGGAAUUGCGAUGAGACAGGAAUGCAGGACCAUUUUCUAUCAGCCACUGUGAUUUCAGAGGUGGGGAGUGCUUGCUACGAGAUAACGUCAGGCGAAAAGGGGGAGACGACAACAGCUUUGGCCAGCUUUAAUGCUGCAGGGGACUACGGUCCUCUCUUGGUCAUCUUCAAAGCCAAGAGGCUAAAAGCAGAGUGGCUUUAUAAUGUUACUCCCAACACAGUAGUGAAGGUGUCCGAUAAUGGCUGGAUAACAACUGAGCUGUUUUUAGAUUGGGGGAAGCAAUUCGUGGACAUGCUCCCUAAGGAUGACCUCAGACCACAUGUGCUGCUGCUGGACGGCCACACCAGUCAUGUAUUCAACAUUGAUUUCCUGAGGCUCAUGCAGUCACACAGGGUACAUGUGGUGUGCUAUCCUUCCCACACCACCCACUGUCUGCAACCAGCCGACAAGUCCCUCUUCAAGUCCCUGAAACAUCAUUGGAAUGAGGAGGGAAGGAGCUUCAUGCGGCUAACAGGAGGGAGAAAGCUCCUUAAGGGGGAGUUUUUCCUUGUUUGGGAGGGCAUGGAGGAGGGCAAGCACAGUCCAGACUGCCCAAGCUGGCUUCAGGGGGACUGGGAUGUACCCAGUAAAUCCCAUGGCUAUACACCCCAAUGUGUAUGA
ensembl:lncRNA